UUUAGCGACCGCCACCGCUGAUCGAUGCAUGGUCGCGGUUGGGAGGAGUAUGAAGCGCCGAUCCAAGCACUGCAAAUCAGAGUUAGAGCUGCGCUGGGGAAGCACGCAUUAUGUGCGGCGGGAAGGUACAAAAGAGGAGCAGAUUUUCUCCACCUACUCGGAGUAUUUGACUACCAGCUUGGCGUCCUAGCUCAUUAUCAGCAAUAAGCCAUUUGAGAGUGAGUGUCGCCAUGCUAUCAGGUUGAGGCGAAUUGCCAAAGUUUUCAGCAGAAAAAACAUCACUAAAGCUAUUUGAUGGCCAUAGUGAUGGGUAGUGAAUACCGCUGAUAAAUUGCAAUAUCCACAACUUUCAGUCACGCGGGCUAUAUAAAUUAAGUUGCAGAAACUGAACACCACUAAGGUAGAAGGAAGUAAAGAGAAGACUAAAGGAAAAGAAGAAAUUACCGCCGGCAGCCCCGUCAGGAACCUCCUCGACAGAGCGUUUGCCUAAACUUAUGUCCCGCCUCCGAGACUUGGCAUCAAAGAGUAAAGGAUAGACAUGAGGUCGCACACGCUGAUGACCUGAUCCGCGGCCUACACCUUGGACAGGUUGCAUGACAGGCAAAGAACCAGCAUGAGGCAAAGCAGCAGCCCCAAAAGGUUCACGAUCAGAGCCAGCAGAAGUAAGAGCAGCAGCUGA